GAUGAACGCUGGCGGCGUGCCUAAUACAUGCAAGUCGAGCGAACAGACGAGGAGCUUGCUCCUCUGACGUUAGCGGCGGACGGGUGAGUAACACGUGGAUAACCUACCUAUAAGACUGGGAUAACUUCGGGAAACCGGAGCUAAUACCGGAUAAUAUAUUGAACCGCAUGGUUCAAUAGUGAAAGACGGUUUUGCUGUCACUUAUAGAUGGAUCCGCGCCGCAUUAGCUAGUUGGUAAGGUAACGGCUUACCAAGGCAACGAUGCGUAGCCGACCUGAGAGGGUGAUCGGCCACACUGGAUCUGAGACACGGUCCAGACUCCUACGGGAGGCAGCAGUAGGGAAUCUUCCGCAAAGGGCGAAAGCCUGACGGAGCAACGCCGCGUGAGUGAUGAAGGUCUUCGGAUCGUAAAACUCUGUUAUUAGGGAAGAACAAAUGUGUAAGUAACUAUGCACGUCUUGACGGUACCUAAUCAGAAAGCCACGGCUAACUACGUG
rnacentral:rRNA from 1 species